CAACAAGUAUCUUUUUUCUGGAGUACCACUGAGCUUCUGAACAGGUGGGGCAUUCAAAACGUCAUUUAUGGUUCUGAAACAUCCUUACGAGCUUCAUGAAGGGCUUUUAAAAACGUUAAUAGUAUCAUUAUAGUUUUUGAAUAUUAUGUGUUGAAUGGAAGGAUUACAGUGACACAAUUCACCUCUUCAAGUCCAAUUAUACUAAGCAAAAAAAAGAUUGAGAUUUUUAGUUAAAAUUACUAUAUUUGGGAAGAACGCAGCUAAGCUGUCGUGACGUUCCAUUAGUUCACCCAUGAGAGAGUAAGAAAGAAAGUAAACACAAAUCCUACUUUUUUUUAUCUAUUUAAAAAAAACAUUUACAUUGCCAAGAAUUACUUCGGAGUCGAUCCUAAAUGAUAUCCAACAAGUUUUUAUCAAGUUUGAAUAACUUACCAAAUGCUCAAAUUUGAAGAAAAACAUCCAGUUCUAGAUCAUUUGUGUCCUAAAAUGGUAAAAAACUCUCAAUAAAGGUAUUAGAAAAGUAGACAAUAUGGAUCCUUGAUAUUACAAUAUUGAACUGCCUUGUCCUCUAAAUAUUAUCUUCUUAACUAAAAA
rnacentral:lncRNA from 1 species